AGUCCAAGGCAACACGGAUUUAUUAAACAUAAAUCAACGAGCAGUGCAAUAGAAGAUAUAAUGGAAACCAUACUGAAACACAGGCAAGGAGAACUGACUUCUUUGAUUACAGUGGAUAUAGCAGGCGCAUUCGACAACGCAUGGUGGCCAGCAAUUAUUAGAAGACUCGAUUUGGAUAACAUUCCCUCCAAAUUAAUAAGAAUUAUACAAUCUUUUUAAACAGGGAAAGAAGGGCAAAUUUCUCAUAUGAAGAUACAAAUGUUACAAAAAAUCUGACAAAAGGAUGCCCUCAAGGCAGUCCUUUAUCCCCAAUAUUAUGGAAUAUUUUGUUAAACGACUUGCUGAAGAGUUUCAAACAUCCGAACGCAGAAAUAAUUUGCUACGCAGACGACGUUUCCAUCAUUUGCUGGAGCAAGUCUGUCGAGGAUCUCAAAAUAUUAAGUGAAUAUAUUCUAUGCUACGUGAUUCAAUGGUGUAAUAGGAAUAAAUUAUCAAUAAGCCCAGAGAAAACGAAUUUACCUUACUUACAUAAUAAACCUAAAGUUCCAAUUGAAAUAUCGAAUAUUAUUUUAAACCCAGUAGAUCAAGUUAAGAUAUUAGGCAUAAAAUUCUCAAAUCAUAGAAUUAAAAAAAAAGAUAAAUUUUACCCCACAUAUCAACGACAUUCUGUGUAGGAUCGUAAGAAUGAAAAUUUUCUGUUUUCACUUUGUGGAAAGAUGUGGGGAAUAAAUACUAAAAAAAAAAAUAAUAAUAAUUUUGUAUAAAACACUUAUCAGUCCAGCUCUUACGUAUGGUUCAGAAAUAUGGUAUAAAUUUAUAAAUAAGCGAUGCAAAGAAAAACUAAAUUCUACUCAAUAUCAAAUUCUUCUGUGGGUGAGCAGAGCCUACAAAACUACAUCUUCCAACUGUGUCCAUAGUCUUGCGAACAUCCCCCUUCUCACAGAUUAUAUUGAAUCUAAAAUAAUUAAAAAUGAUUUGGCUCAUCUUUCGAUAGAGGAUCAAAAUGCUUUUAGACCACAUUCUCCGAGUAUAAUUGGUUCAUUUUUAAGUGCAAAAAUGGAUGAAUUAUUUCUAAAAGCAAAUGAAACAUUCCAAAGCCUUUUCCCGUUUGGAAUUCCAACAUUUUUCCGUUCAAAUUUUUAUAAUGCCCAGUUUACAACGAACCAUGGAAAUUUUAAGGGAUUUUUAUCAAAAAUUGGAGCGGUUGAAGACUAGCUGUCAUUGUGGCAACGAAAUCCAGGACUCGAGACACCUACUGCUGGAAUGCCCACUCUUUUCUAGCGCUAGACAACAGACAAUAAAUAAUGUUGUAGAUCUAUAUCAAUUUGUAAAUAGCAGAGAGAAUUAUCAUAGGUUUAACUAUCUUUGUAGAUAUACUUAUGAUUAUCUUUCAAACCUGAAAGGUUCAGGUUCCUAAUAUAUAUUAUUACGAUGUACUAGAGCGCCAUCUGUUAUCAAAUUAUAAAACUAUUUUAGAGGCGUGAUAUUCUUUUUAAAAUAAAACAAUUUCUACUGUCCUUACUGCGAUGGAAAAAUUAAAGGGAGGGCCUGGCUCAUCAGUGGUGAACCCUCCCUUAAAUUCCUUUUCUUGUAUAAUGUGUUUAUAACUGUUUCUGUUUUUUUUUUUAAAUGUAAAUCGAUGCAAUUAUCCCUAGCCGGGAUAUCGCGUUUUGUGUGUUGAAAUAAAGAUCAAUGCAUUUUUAAAUAUGAGUGUGGUUCACACUUCCAUGAUUACCUUCCUCCCGUAUUUUAUAUCAUACUAGAGCACCACAUGCGACGGAGAAAUUCGCGAGCACAUAUUUACAUACACUGUUUAUUUUACAGGAACAUUAGCCUGUCAAAACUGUAAAUAUAAAUAAUAAUAAAAAAUACAAAUUAUUAAAUGCGUAUUUAUAGUUAUUUAAAUUAGGAAAUAUAUAAUUUUAGUCAAUGUUAUUAAAUGUUCCAGUGGAAGGCUCGUUAAACCGUUUGGUUUUCGACCACUAGGACCCGGGUUCGAUUCCCGCAUUGGACACUUUUUUCUGUUUAAAAAAAAAAUUGCUCCAAUGGCCCCCGAUUCUUGCAAAAGUCCAACCCCACCAGUGAGUGCAAGUAACCAAACGGGGCUCUGGCACAUUUGUAAGUGCAAAGUCGAACUGCUUUUCACAUGUGUAGACAUGUGGUGCACUUACAGUAAAAGCAGUCGCUAACUAUCCACCAUGAUUACCAUGGCCUGUACCACAUGUACUAGGGAUAAGCAAAAAAAAAUGUUCCGAUAGAUGGCAGUGGGUCAUCAGCAUCAUUUAGUUGUUAGAAUAGUAGGUUUCAUUGACUUAACACACUGUUCUGCUCUAAACUCUUCAAAAACUCGUCAAGCUAAGGGUUGCGAAAUUAAAGUAGAAAUCAGCUGGGAACGACAACUUAAAUGCCAAUAAAAAAAGUCACCAUAUUAUAUUGGGGCAUUGGAAUUAUUCAUUAAUUUAUUUUUAAUUAAUUAAUUAUAAUUAUAUGUAUAAAUAUAAAAAUACAUAAAAAUAUACCUUCAUUUCAAAAUCAUCAUACAUGUUCCAUAGCUUGGUUGUUCAAUGUCCUCUAUCUAUAUAUACACUCAUGAACAAAACUUAAGGAAGUUGUACCUUUUACCAUGUAUAUCGGGAUUCAGACAAUAACUCUGGAAGAUAUUACAGUGACCUUUAUUGAAGACAUACGAGAUAACUAAGUGUGAACAAAAUUACCUCUGUUACCUUAAAAAAAAAACAACAAAACAAAAAACAGACGACCGGCGACAUCAAAUAUUUUCCAAUUCGUUAAGUUUUGUCCAUGAGUGUAUUUCAGUAAUUUAAUUGCAAUUUAAUAUUUAGCAUAUCAUUUGUGAAGAAAAUAUAUCUCCCAUACAAUCUACAAAUUAGAAAAUAUCCAAUUAAAUGUCCAAAAUUAUGGCUUUAUUUGAAGUAAAAGGCUAUGUAAUAUGUAUACAAAUGUUUACACAACAAAUAACAUAAAAUAUUUAUGUUUAAAAAUAAAUGAAUCACUAAUAUUGAUAACAAAUUAAUAUUCAUAUAGAACUUUGAUAAUUUGUAACUCCCAGGUAUAUUAAAUCGUAACCGUUAAACAUUGACUCCAUGAACAUUACGACGACGCUCUGUGUCCAGUUGGCAGAAUUACAAAAUACUCCUGUUAUAAAUAGGGUGGCUUUGAAAACGGCUGAAUUAGGGAAGCUGCAUGAAGUACAUUGCAACUCUGAUGUAUCUCUAUAAAUGAUUGUUUAUGACAGUUUUGGGCUUCUAACUCCAAGGAGAUUCGCGAAAUAGAAAAACUUUACAUUUAGGAUUUCUUCCUCCUUUGAGGUCAUAAAUAAUCGCUUCAAAGUCAAGCCUUAACUCCCAACCGUUCCAUAGUUGAUUCUGUGCAUCACCGAUAUCGUAUUUUAUAGAUAGAUAAAUAUAGAAAUCACAUAUAUAUUAAAAGAGUUGUGGGAAAGGAUUCCAUUCAUUGUUCCAAAAGUGACACAUUUCCCAUUUCAUAUUUAAAGGGCGAGGAAUUUUGGCACAAAUAUAUUUUUGGUACAUAUAAAUCUAAUAUAAAAUAUAACUUAAUAAAUUCUUUAUAAUCCUUUAUAAAAAGAAACUCAAUAACUCUUAAGAAUAAAUACGGUACAUAUUAUUUUUUUAAAUGGGCUCAGGAGAUAAUACGACAUUUGGAAUAUAAAACAUUGAAAAAAAAAAUUAUAUAAAUGUCCAAUUUUGGAAAUAUAAAGAAAAGGAAACCCUAUUAAAAUUGAAACAUUAAUAAUUAAAGUAAACUAAUUUUAAAAUCUUGAAAAAACUCGUUCACUUACUAAAAUAUUUAUACCAAUAUAUUAUUCUAAAAAUACCUUCUUUUCAAAAUUAAAGCGCAGGCGCGCAGAUGUCAUUUUUCGAGAAUUAUAAAUGCAAUUUUAUUUCUCGCCCUUUAAAUCAAACAGCCUGAAAUCAAUGCCAUUUAGAUGAUUGUCUAAAAAGAAAAAAUACAAGCUUUAAAAAUAUAUUAAUAUAAUAUUUACCUAGAUAUGCAUUUCUGCCCUUGAAAUGUAGGUAAUAUUUAAAAAUAGAAUUAUUUUUUAUAAGAUCAUUUUUAUUGAUUAUUUUCAAAAAGUCUUAUAAAAUAUUUAUAAUUCCUUAAUUUAUUUAUAUUUUAAAAUUUUAUGGGCAAAUAUUUUUCUCUCUCUAAAAUGACACAUAUUUUUACUAUUUAAAAGUACAUAUUUUAAAAAAAUUAACUAAGGUGGAGAGUGACUUUAAUUUUAUGGGCAAAAUUUAACUGAUAUUUUAAACAUUUUCCUUGAAAAGAUAUUAAAUAUAUUCUUUUUUCUUGAAAUUUUUCGUUUCACAUAUUUAUUAAAAAUAUUUUGAAUAUUAUCUAAUAUAUGCAUAUAGGUUCUAAAUAUAUAUACAUUUUAUUUAAUUAAAAACCUUUUAAAAAAAAAAAAAAAAUUCAUUUCUUAUUUUAAAAGAAGGGCAAUUUAGAUAUUUGUGCAUAUAUAUUUCUUUAAUUCAACAACCCAAGAAAAGAAUCAGAAUUUUUAAUUAUAUUAAUGUAGGGUUUUUUGGAAAAACAGUCUUCAAAAAUAAUACCCAAAUAUUCAUUCAUUAAAAUAAUAUUUUAAGGAAAUUAUCGUUUGACAUAUCGUCCCUACAACUGCAAAUUAUCGAAUCUGAAAAUCGGUACUUUACUUGGAUAACUGUGGUAAUCUCCCUCUCUCUGGUUUUACAAUAUAACAACGUGAGACCAAUAUAUAAAAAUUGUACAUAAUAUGUACAAUUUUUAUAUAUUGGUCUCACGUUGUUAUCUUGUAAAACCAGAGAGAGGGAGAUUACCACAGUUAUCCAAGUAAAGUACCGAUUUUCAGAUUCGAUAAUUUGCAGUUGUAGGGACGAUAAUUUAAAAAAAUAAAUAUUAUAAAACGAUACUAUUGUGAAAAUUUUAUCAUUUUUUUUAGAAUUUUCAAUAAAAUAUUUUACUGAAAGAUAAAGUUGCAAUAACACACAUUUUCAACAUAUAAAAAUUAUAAAUAAUAUUUUAAUUUAACAGUACAUUUUCCUUCUGAUUAAACUGAAUAAACUUGCAAAAAUUAUAAUCUUUAAAAAUAAAUUUAGUUUAAAAAAAGUUUGCACAGUUUUAGAGAAUAAAUUAUUUAUUAACCACAUCAAGAUAUAUAUAGCUAACAACUAGUAAUUGAUUAUUUACAAAGCUAUAUAAAUAUAUACUAUCUGGAUUCUUGGAGCACAGGACACACUACCUGGAUAACAAGAAAACAUUAGAAGACCAAGCUAUUUUGUAUGAAUAAGAUUUAAAAAAAAAAAACAUUAUGAAUAAAAAAUAUUUUAAUUCUCUAUAAAACAUUUCCUAAACUUUAGUCAAUUAUAUUGAAAAUUAAAUUAUUAUAUUAGUGUAGCAUAUCACAAUAUAACUUCCCUAUUAAAUUCGACCAUUGUAUAACUAUUUGGUAGUCAAAUUGAUCUUCUAUUUUCAACAUUUAGCAUGAGACAAAUGAUCUGAUAUCAGUUUGAUUGAAUACCUUUUGUUCCGACGGAAAAGCUUGCAGAACUUGAAACAUCCACGCAUUUUGGUUUAGGUUUCUUAAUAAUGUGAUCUAUAUAUAGCUUAGCAACUUGAUUUAGAUUUUUCCUUUUGAAUGAAAUCAUAAUUUCGGUCAUUUUUAGACAGAUAUCUAAGUAUACAAAAAUGUAAUGCCUCGAUAAAGGUUGGCGUUCAGCCAGCCGAAAUAUUGGCAAAAUAAAUAUAUUUUUAAAUCCAAUAUAUGCCUUUUAUUAUCUAAUAUGUAUGAAUAUAUACUAAUCUUAAUAAACUAUAAAGAUUCCUAAAGCCUCGUAGAAAAUUCUUUGAUAUAAAAAAUCUCUAGAAGAAAAUAUUUGAUUACAAAGUGAAAUAUUAUAUAUAAAAAUGCUCUUUGCUUAUCUCCACGUUAUGGAAGAAUUUGAAAAUUAUUAUAAGAGUGUCACGAAAUUAUAUGCAUACUACACUUCGAGUAUUUCCGAAUGCUUAAUGAAUAUGGUUAAGUUUGAAGAUACAAAAUCGAUAAUGAUUCUGCAACGUUUUAUAUUUGGUAUUCUGAUAAUAUAUAAUCUCACGUCUGUGUAUUUGGAAUACUAUCAAAUAGUAGUUGGUUCCAAUCAAAUAGAAAUUGAAUUUCAACACCAAAGAAAGACAAUUUUUCCGACAUAGGUAGCAAGCCAUUUAGAAACUCUCUCAAAUUAUAUUUUAAUUUUACCAUAGGAUUUCUACAAAGCUGCAUAUUUGGCGUCUGAACCGAGUUCACCAUGAAUCUCUUGUUUUGUUUAAAUUAACGAGACUUUAAAAGUAUUUUAUUGCUCCUUCAUUAUGGCUAGGGCCUCCAAUCCCGGGACAUAUUUUCAAUCCCGGGAUUCGGGGUUGCUUUUUUCUCAAUCCCGGGAUUGAAAAACAUUUUCGUCUUUCUAAGCCAAGAGGUAUAUCGUUUCGUUCGUUAUAUUUUUAAUUUUUUCUUUUAUAUAGUGCCAAUGACGUGGCACUUACUUCGAUGAAAACAACCUGAAAGCCAUUUAUUUUGCGCCUGCUUAUGAACUAAAUCAUUGCUUUUGGGUUACAGUUUGAAAUUAUCUGUCAAUUACUGUACACACAUCUGGAAAAAAAUUACUGUUCGUGGUACUCUUAGACCACAUCUCUUAAAGCAGUGUUGGGCAGUAAUCCAUUCAAAGUAAUACAUUACCUUGUAAUUACGAUUACUUUGCAAUGCAUUACUUUGCAAAAAAAAUUAAUUGCAUUAAAAUGUAAACAUUAUUACUCGUAAUUCUAUAUAUAAUGAUAGCAAUUGUGAUUAAAAUUACUUGUAAUUGUAAUUAUAGCAAAUGUAAUCAUGAUUAUUUGCAAUUGUGAUUAUAGAAAAUGUAAUCAUUAUUUAAAUUUUGCCCAACUAUGUAUUAAUGUUUAGAAAGAAGACAGCACCGUUUUAAAAACCAUGAAUUACUUUAUUUUAAGGAUAAAAAUUCAAUUUCGAGAAAGAUUUGAGCGUAGUAAAGAUAAUUUGUCAAGAGUGUCAUCAUGCAAACUAGAACGUAUCUUAUUGCAUAGGUAUCCAGAGGAGGAGAAGACUCUUUCCGAUUCCACAGACGUUGGAGGAAUUGUCAGCAAGUAUUGAUACACACUCUCUAAAUGGGGUCCACGUUUGCCUGACUGAGCAGCCAUAUUAAGUUCGUGGUUAAUCAAUGUUGAGUAGGAUGUGGAGUCUGGUGUAGGUAUUGCAAUUGAAGUUGAAGAGGCAGCCUCAAUAGCUUCUUGCAAUCGGCGCUCAAUUGUAAGAUGGCCAAUCGAUUGUGAUGGCUCAUGGCGUUCUUGUAAACUCCGAGGAAGUUGCGAAUUAUCAGCCUGAAUUUUUACUUCUGCGAUUUGUUCCUGUAACGGUUUAAGACGCAAAAGCAAUUUCACGCUAAAGUCUUUGACCAUCUUCUUUUUUUCUAACUGUGCUUGCGGAUUGUGCAGAUAUUGGAGGACUAAAGAUGUUUUAUUGCACCGCUCUUCUAAAAUUUUCUUUUGAAAAUAUUUUUCAUGUUACAAGCAGGUCCGCCACAAAAAUAAAGGGAUGCCGCUACUAUCUAAGAAGCCACUAUUUGCAUGUCAACAAAAACUGGGGCCCCCUCCAUGUAUACUGCUGCAUACUCUCAUUCUAGAGGCUGCCAUUUUGGAAAGAUCUUGCAGAAUAACCCUUCGUUAUUAGUGCAUGAAAAUAAUUUCAAAUCUCUCAGAAAAAAAAAUAAAAAGACCCGAAAUGCAGCUGUAUAAACAAAACCUCAAAAGUGUGCUAUCUCAUCAUCAGUUUGAUUACCAAAAUGCUAGAUAAGAAAUAUAUUUUUUUGCGCUGGUUUUCAUGCACAAACCAGUAAUCCCGGGAUUUUUCGAGCAGAAUCCCGGGAUUUCGGGAUCAUUAUUUGGCUCCGGGAUCCCGGGAAACGGGAUCCCGGGAUUGGAGGCCCUAAUUAUGACAUAUGAUAACCAAUUUAAAAUAUUUUAGUGUAAUCUAAAAAAUAAUAUAAAAAUAUUGGUCGUAUAAACACUACGGGACAAAGACUUCCUAAAGUAAACCCCUCCUUUGUUUAGCGACCACCACCUUUAGAAAAUACCAUCAAAAUAAUUUAAAAAUAACUGGACCUGACCUAUCCCAGGAUUUGAUGAGAGAACCACCUCCAGAACAGACCAAGAUUAUAUUUAGACGAGAUAUUAUGAGAAACUGUACUAUGUAAUUUAGUAUAUACAACCCCAACUCUAAUUGAAACUUCAUAAAAAUUCCAAACAUUAGGUGAUAUGCAGGAUUAGGUUUUUCUACAGGGAGAGAGAAACCGAUUUUAUCUGCUACUUUAAAAAAAUCCAUGAUGAGAAAUAAAGGAAUAUAUAAAUACCUACAUAUUUAUUUUAAAAAUAUGGCUUAUUUUGGAUUGUAAUAAGAUUAUUUAUUAAUCCAAUAUUUUGAUGGACCAAUCGUCCAUCUUUUAAGAGGUUUUUUGUCAUGAAGCACACAGCAGGUCGUGUGCUUCAGGUGAGCCACGGACGUCUUACAGCUUAUUGGGCGAUAAACCAUCUAAUCUAUACAUUUUAAAUAAAGUAAAUAUAAUCAAAAGAAAAACAGUGUAAUAUAAAUAAAUAAAUAACUAUAUGUAUAUUCAAAAAUUCAUAGCCUAAAGAUAUCUAUAAUAUCUCAGUAAAUAAAUAAAUCUUUUAUGAUAUUCAAUGUCAGGGUAUAUAUACAGUAUAACCUUUGUUGCAUUGAGGUCUGCAUAGAAUGGAAUACGGGUGCACACAAUGUUGCGAGAACCAAGGAUGGCUUUAAACCGCGCUACUGUGAGCAUAUAAUACAAAUAUAAAUAUACAUGUACACUCAUGGACAAAACCUUAAGUAAAAGUUUUAUGUUGAUCUUUUUUUUUUUUUUUUUUUUGAAGGAGACAGAGGCAAAUUUUUGUUCACACUUGGUUAUCUCGUGUGUCUUCAAUAAAUCCA